UUUUCUUUCUCUCUCCAAAACAAAACAAGUUAUAAAUUUCUCUCUCCAAAACUCAAAAUUGAUUUUCAAACCAAAUCGAGCUCCAAAUUUCUCUCUCUCCAAAACCCAAAAUCGAUCUUCAGACCAAAUCGGCAUCUAUUUCACCUAUUUCAUUCCAAAUCACUAUUCACCUAUUUCACGAUUCGGCAUCUAGGUUGAACAAAUUGGCACUUGACAUCUCCUAUUUCAGUACAAAUCGACUUCGACUCGGAUCAAAACCUUGAUUUCGGCUUCGGUUCGGUAAGGGUUUAACUAUUUUCCUCCAUUACAAUUAUAUUUCUAAGUUUUUGUUUUGGUCUGUUUUGGUCUGACUUUGAUGACACCAUCUCUAGCGGUCCAAUUUCCAUUGUUUCAGGGUAAAAUUAGAUUCUUACAUAUGUGACUAUAGAGUUUGAUAUUGUUCCCAUUAAUGGAUAUCGGGGGUGUCCCUGGUUGGUUCAUCUUUGCUGGUGAAUAUACAACCACUUUAGUAAUAAUUCUAUCGUUUGUACAUUUUUAUAAUUUUAUUGAUUGAUAGCCAAUUGUACAAGAUUUACAUAAUUACCUUUUCAAUGUGUUUAAAUGAUAGUUUAUUGGUGCAAAUUUCUUGGACUAUUCCUCUAAAUCUUUUGCUUGAAAAACUUUGUUGGUCGUCUAAAUUUGUGGUUUCCUUUUACUUGAAACAUUUAGUUAAUGAGCUACGUUCAGCAUGUUACGAAUUAAACAAAUGUUUCUAAUAAUGUAUCAGCCUGUAUUUUUUGUCAAUGAAAUGUUUUCCUUCUUGGUUUUGUUUCUUUGCAGAGGCACCCAUUGCCACAACCCUUUGCACUGAGUAAACCCGAUCCCCAAAGUGCCUAUAUGGAGUUUGAUUAUUCGAACUUUUUUAUGUUGCUUUUAUUCAAAUAUCUAGGCUCAUAGUUAUCCCAGAUGGCAGCCUUUGACUUGGAUAAAAAGGACAAGUUUGCUAAGAAUACACAACACUUUACUAUGAAUAGGUGGCUCACCUAAAUGAAAAGACAGUGAGCCUGUAAUACCCAUGAACACUACAACAAAUUGGCUUAUCAGCGACCGCAUAUGGUCGCAGAUGAGUAUUAGCAACCGACUGCGGUCGCUAAUAUUAGUCACAGGUAAUCUGGUCGCUAAAUGGACAUCAACGACCAAUAAUAGCGACCGAAUUAUUAGCGAUCACCAUCAGCGACCGACUCCGUCGCUAAUCUGACUCACGCUGAGUCAGUUGUCAGGAAUGACGUAGUACACGUGACAGCAACUGGUAAUUGUGAUCAAUGCGGUCGCUAGUUUCCAUGUUGCUAUCAGCAACCGCUUAUAGUAGUAGCGGCCGCAUGCGAUCGCUAAUGUUAUUUUUUUUAUAAAAUAUUUUUCCUGUUUUGUUGAUUUUCCAAAAAUAACCUUCUUUGUACCUGCUUUCUAUCCCAACACACAGCAACAUAUAAGGCUGUAAACGAGCUAACACAGUUCGAGCUCGAUUCGGGCUCGACUCAAAAAAAUACGAGCGAGACUCGGAUUCGUUAAUAAUAUGAUCCAAAUCUGAGCAUUAAAAAUAGUUCGAAUAAAAAUAUGAGUAGAAUCUGAGCAAGGUUAUACUCAACACGUUUAAGAUUCAAACAACUCGAAUUCUUGAUUGUGAUUCGAUACAUACUUGGUUAAUACAUAUUCGAUUAGAUGUUCGAUACAUUCUCUUAUAAUAUAUACAAAUUUAAAUCAAAUUAGGAUAAUUAGUUAUUAUUUUGUUUUGUUUUUAAUUUUAAUUGUGAUUUUAUAUUUGUAAAGUGUAAUAAUAAAUAUAUUUUCUCAUUUUUAAGUAAAAUAACAAAUUUAAUUUAUAAUUAUAUUUAUUAUAAAACUAGUUAUUAUGUGGAGACUCGAAUUCGAGCUUGAAUUUGAAGCUCGCGAGUAGUUUGAAUAAAUAUUCGAGUCGAGUCGGAUCGAAUUCGAGUAAUAAAUAUUCGAGUCGACUCGAAUCUGAGUAGGAUUUUUCAAAUAUAAUUCGAAUUCGAGUACGAAUUUAUCAUUUCGAGUCGAAUUCCACUACAAGAAAAUGCUCUAACAGCGACCAAAACCAUCAGCGACCGCACUUUUUAGUCGCAGAAAGUAUUAUUAGCGACCGACAGUAGCGACCAAUAUUGAAUUUGGUCACUAGAGUAUUUUAGCGACCGAACCCGGUCGCUAUUCGGUCGCAGGUUCACUUUUACCUCCAAAAAAAUUGGCACGAAAUGUUGGCGCGUUAAUUGUUUGCAACCACUCACCAUCAGCGACCGCCUGCGGUCGCUGAUACUUCCACAUCAUUUAAAAUUAGCGACCGCAGGCCGUCGCGGAUAGCGAUCGCUGAUCUAUUACAAUUAACCAGUUCCAGUUCGUCACUCUCGAUCGACAGAAGAAAAAAAAGAGGGAGAAAAUAAUAGGACUGUUUCUUCACCUUUACUUUUCACAUACCACAUCUGCCUCACAAUCUCAAUAAAUGCUGACAUUAUGUAUAAAUUAGAAGACAUUUAUUCAUCCAUGUUCACAUCGAAGAGUAGAGAAGCUUCUGUUUUCCUAAUAAUUAAAAUAUCAUUUUCCUUAACAACACAGCCUUAGUAGAGAAGCUUAUGUUUUCUUUGUAUUUUCUAGUCUGGAAAAGCUAAGAUACACAAUAGCUACUUCUAAAUUUUUACAUGCUUUCAUAACCAGACACAAAAGAGGGUCCUCCAACAAAACUUAACCUUCAAUUUCAGGAAAAAAAAAAUCACAAAUUGCACUUAAAUGAUACUUAAACAAAUAAAACUUUCCCGACUCUUAAACUUUCCAACAAACUUGUCAUGUUAAGACAUAAUGUCAAAUUUCCCAUCGAGUAUGUUUUGCAUGUUGUUUCAAGCUUAAAGUUAUCAAACAGUUGACUGCAUAUCUACUACUCCUAUCUAAUUAAAGGAAGUGCUCCCUCAUUAUCUUAAUAUAAGAAGUUUUAGAGAAGUGAUUUUGUUUCUUGAUAUAAGCCGUUUGAGAAUUUUAAGUAAUCAUUAUGAAUUUAAUACUUAUGUACAACUCUAAGAGGUUGGCCCACAUGAUCAAUCACUUUAUAUCCAGCUUUAAUAGUAGAAUUCUUAGUAAUACCAUGAGAGGAUGUUAUUGUUGACAUUCCCCACAAGACAACUUUCCAUAUAUAUGCGCCCACUUGAACACAUUGAUGUGAACACAACUUUCCAUAUGAAUUGAUACUUCUAUGGAAAUACAAAUCUUAGGUUUAGUGGCAUUUGGUUCCUUUUACGUCUGUUUAGUAACAGUCUAAUCAGAGGUUAUGGAGGCAACUAAGAGAGUACUAGUUUCUAACAUGAAUGACACACUUAUUCUAACAUCCUAAUUUUUUUUAUUUAUAGAUGUCUUCUGAACCUGCAACACGAAAGCGCGGGUUGGGUCGGGGCCCUAAUCAUGUGCCGAAGGCCCCGGUUAAUCCGGAUGAUCGCAUUCUUAUACAGAUCCGUCCUCCUCCAGAAAGCACGUAAGUUAAACAUCGUGUAUAUAUAAGGNNNNNNNNNNNNNNNNNNNNNNNNNNNNNNNNNNNNNNNNNNNNNNNNNNNNNNNNNNNNNNNNNNNNNNNNNNNNNNNNNNNNNNNNNNNNNNNNNNNNNNNNNNNNNNNNNNNNNNNNNNNNNNNNNNNNNNNNNNNNNNNNNNNNNNNNNNNNNNNNNNNNNNNNNNNNNNNNNNNNNNNNNNNNNNNNNNNNNNNNNNNNNNNNNNNNNNNNNNNNNNNNNNNNNNNNNNNNNNNNNNNNNNNNNNNNNNNNNNNNNNNNNNNNNNNNNNNNNNNNNNNNNNNNNNNNNNNNNNNNNNNNNNNNNNNNNNNNNNNNNNNNNNNNNNNNNNNNNNNNNNNNNNNNNNNNNNNNNNNNNNNNNNNNNNNNNNNNNNNNNNNNNNNNNNNNNNNNNNNNNNNNNNNNNNNNNNNNNNNNNNNNNNGAGGUAUAAAAUCAAUUUGUUGUAUAUUGUCGUAAUAUACCAAUAUUAACAUAGUUAGUAAAUAUUUAUAACUUGUUUUAUUAUUUUGUUAAUAUUACAGGGUGAUCAAGGAGGCGGUGAUGCUUGAUUAGUACCUGCUUUAGAUUAGUUUUAUAGUUAUAAUAUAAGUUUGUACUUGUUUCAUUCUUAGGAUGUUUGUAUAUUGUUACUUAAACAAUUUUUAAAAUGUUAUUAUAUUUAUUCAAAAUCAUAUUGGUUUUGAAUGGUUUAUAUUCUAGUUUAGUGUAUGUGUUAUAUGAUGGACGAUGGAUGUUUAUAUUGUUGUGUAUGCUGUUAUUGUGUAUGUGUGUUGGGAUAAAACAGGUACAAAACAGGUACAGGUUUUUGGGAUUUAUUCAAAAACAACAAGAUUCUGUUAUUUUAUUUUUUAAUAUCAGCGACCGCAUGCGGUCGCUGAUUCCGGUCGUUGACACGUGAAACAUGUCAGCUUUGGUCAUGGCCCAUGCUGACUCAUCGUAGCGAUCGGAUUUGCCAUUUCGGUCGCUAAUAUCGGUCGCAAAAAAUCGGUCGCUAAUAGUGGUCGCUGAUGUGCAUUUCAGCGACCAGAUUUUGUGCGACGCCUUUUAGCGACCGCAGAUGGUCGCAGAUAGAUAUCAGCGACCACAGGCGGUCGCUGAUAGGCGGUCGCUGAUAAGCUUUUUUGUUGUAGUGUUCGAGUAGCUCUCUAUUUGCUCCGGUUCGACUCGUUUACACCCUUAGCAGUAUAUAUAAGCAUCCAUAUAAACAUCCAUCCAUAAUUUAUAUAUAUCCCAACACAUCUACAAUAAUAUAUAUAAACAUCCAUCAAUAUAAUAGAAUUGUAAACCAACACAACACAAUACAAUCAUAAACAUCCAUAUAAUAAUAUAAAUAUUGAGAUUAAUAAUUGUGGAAUAUUUAUUUAAGUAUAAAUACAUAUCUUUGUGUCAUGAGAUGUAAUAAUUCAUUUUUUUAAUUGAAUUAAAUAAUUGAUGAUUGAGAAUUAUGGUGGAAAUAAAGAUGAGCUUAAUUUAAGCUUAUGGAAUGUGCCUAGUGUGGCAAAGUGAUCGAUGAGAUAAGAAAUUCCUUAAGUAAAUUAAUAAGAAAAUUAUUAGAUGGACUAAUUAUCAUUACGAUUAAUUAAUUGUUAUGUGAAAUCUUAUGUGAUAUGCCUAGUAUGGUCUAAUGAGAGACUAAGUAAUUCAUUAAUUGAAUUAAUGAAGGAAUGAAUUAAUAAUGAGAGGAUUUAAUUAAUUAUGUGAUUAUCAUGUAGUUACUUGUGUUAUGUGAUAUUUAAAAUAAUUUAUUUAUAAGGUUAUUUCAUGUAUAAAAUAUAAUAUGGAUGUUAAGAAUAAUAUUAUUAUAUGUGAAUAAUUAUUGUAUGAGACCAUUUAAUAAGGUAAGCUGAAUGUUGUAAUUUACUAAGUUGUAAUUAAGCCUUGUGUGCCUCAAUAAUAUUGGACUGACUAAAAGUAAUUAAAUGAAACUUUUUAUUUAAUGAGUGAUGAAAGAUUAAUGAGGUGUUAACACUCAACUAAAUUGUAUUUAAAUAUUAUUGAAAUUAACCCAAUAUACAUGGAUUAUAUGAUUAUGUGUAUAUACACCCCUAACUUAUCACAAGGUAAUUUUAUUAAGUCAUUAAAGAAACAUUGUGGGUCAAAUAGGAACUCAUUUUUGAAGUACCGAGAUUUAUGUUCUCAAGUUAGUGAAUAACAAAGCCUUGUCCCAAAUUAAUAGUCUCAUUCUAAGUCAUCAGCCAUAUAUUAGGCCAAUGGCCUAUCCUCCCUAUUUUUGCUUAAACUCUGAAAACCAAAAAGGCUAGAGGAGGAUGAUGAUGGCUAGAAGGAUGGAGAGGGAUGGAGUUGGUGAUUGCUUUCCACCAAACUCUCCUUAUCCAUUAUCUUUUUCUUUCUACCUUUGGUUUGAUUCACUGAACAAGAACCAGAAAUUGGUCCAUAAUUUCUCUAUAAAUAGAGGUCUCCUUCUUCAUUCAGUAAACUUUGCAAUCACUGAGUUUCUGAUAAGGUGCAUAUAGAGAGGGAAUUGCAUUUUAAGUGAGCAAUUUGAACAUGGGAAGAUAAAUUCAAUUCACAACCUCAAGAGGUAACAUUACUGUCAAAACAUAUGUUAUUAAUUUUGAGUUUUGUUAAAUUCUUAGAAUUUCUUGAAUUUCUCUGUUAAUUGGUAUGAAAUGGCAUGUCAUUAUGUUAGAAGAGUUUAUACGCGUGUUAUGGAUUAUGUAAUGAUUCUGAGUAUGCUGAAUCAAUGAUAUUCUUGAUUGGGAUUCUGAAUUGCUACAAACCAGAGCCAAGUUUGGAGUUGUUCUGAAGUGGCGCGGCCGCGCGGUUGGUCAGUCCCAAAAAAUAGUUUUUAUUGCUUCUAAAAUUCUGAGCAUGUUAGUUUACUAAGUUAGGUGUGAUACUAAGUCUAACUUAUGAGCUAAGACCCCUAUUGCUCAACAUAAGUUGUUUUAACUUGUUUAUAGUGAUUUUGAAAACAAAUCGUAAGGUUUUGAAAAACAAAUCAUGAUGAACGUGGCGUAUUUUAAAUUUUGAUCUUUCUAGUCUAUACUUAUAACUUAGUUGUGUGAACAUAUGGAUAUGAAGUGGGUUACAGAGUUGAUUUACAUAUUAGCUUGAUUUAGCAUGAGUUUUAAAAAAGGAACUUGUGGAUUUUUCAAAAUGAUGAUCAUAAUAUUCUUUAAGUUCUGACUUUUAAACACUUGAACAUAGCUUGAAUAUGUGUACAAAUAAGCAUAAGAUGUUGUUUUAAGUUGUCUUGCAUAAAGGAGGCUGCAUAGUGGAGUCAUGUAGGUUUGAGAACUAAUUUUGAAAAGCAUGAUGUGAAUAACAUUUUGACUAUAUAUACAAACAUAAAAACAUCUUUUAUGACUAAGCAUGGUUGAUAUGUGCAUUCAACUAGUUAAGUGUAAUAUAGACUAGUUAAGCAUGUUUCAAAGAAGGUUUCUGAAUAACGGACUAUACUAGUUAUGCGUAAGUAAACUAAAUACAUGCAAGCAUGCAUAGUAAAAAUGGGUUAGUAUCAAUAUAUGAUAUAUUAAGCAAUAGGAUCACUCUUUUGCAUGAUGAAUUCUCUUAACCUCAUUAAAUGGAAACUUUCGGAAUAAAACUAUAAGAUUUGAAAAUAAUCUUGAAAUGAGCUUAAGGAACAUAAAAUUAAGUCCAGAACCUUUUAAUUACAUGUGUAUCAUGAUCUGUUUAUGCUAAAUACUAAACUGUAGCCAUACUAUUAAAAGUUUAAAUCUGGUCUGAUCAAGGAGCAGCGCGACCGCACCACUCCCAGGUCAAAAUGUAGCGCGACCGCGCUACAUGCCAGAGAGGUCUGAAAUUUUUUAUCUUAUUCAGAACCUUGAAGCAUGUUUAUCUAAAUGUUUUAAGAUACAAUGCAUAAUGAAAGUGAUGUUUUAAGUACUUAAGUAUGUAGUGGCUACAUUGAACUAAUGCAUAUCAUUUUCUAGAGGAUUGUUAGACAAAGUUUUCAAAGCAAUGUUGAUAUGAUAAUCAUAUGAUCUAAAGUGGAACUUAAAUUAUAUGCUCAAUGGUUAAGCAUGAGUAAGAGAUUGAUUUGUUUAUAUUAAGCAUAUAUGACUAAUGUGUAUACAUAAAUAGGAUAAUAUAGUUCGUUGGAGUUCUAGUAAGCUAUAAGUUGGUAAUCGAUGCAAAAGGCAAGUUUUUGACGCCCCCAAAAGAGGUACACAUCACCCAUCUUGGGUCGCCAGAUACAUGGUACAUAAAUUCAAAUACAACUUAAUUAUACAACAGUCGUGUAAAAUACGACAUAACAUAGCUGAGAGUUUAAACAGGAAUAUUGUCUUCUAGACAAUAUCCACUCUCAAAUAGAGUCCUCAUUACAUUUAUUGUCACACUUUUUUAUAGAAUAGUGAGGACUACUAAUACACCAUCUCGGAUCAUCACUCCGUUCCCCGACUAGUCCCGGCUACAUUCUCAUUUCCUGAAGAGAACAAUGAAAGAAAGGGUGAGCUCAACUAGCCCAGUAAGAAAUAUUAUGACUAAGAUAAUGCAGAAUAAAUUAUCCUUAGCCUUCAACAGUAUAACAACUGAUAGAAUACAAUAGACAACAAGUUUUAGAUCAACAACUGCAGCGGAAUAAGCAAUCCAUUAGAAGAGUCAAGUAGAGCAUAAAAUCUACUAUCUUCUAUGAUUUAAAAAGUUUUUCAUCAACUUUAUCGCUGAGACUCAGCUUAAUAAAUAAAAUCGAAUCAUCCCUGCACCACGGCCAAGGAUAUUCAUGUAAUCAUCAAUGGUCAUGAUUAUACCGAAUAAUCCCUGGUCAUAAUCAUACCAACAACUGUCCAUCAAUGAACUACAGGCCAAUGAGGACUUUUACCACAUCAUUCGUCACAUUACGGUCAUGAUUAUACCGAAUAAUCCCUGGUCAUAAUCAUACCAAGUCCAUCUAUGCACGUAAGCCAAAGAUGACUUUCAUCACAAUAUAAGCAUGAGGAUGAUGACAAUGACAUAAUAAUUCAAUAAAACAAGUUCAAGGAUAAAUUUUAAAGAUUUAUAAUUUAAUUUAUCCAGAAAUCAAUAACGUCCAAAUUGUCAACAUGAUACUGCUUUGUAGAGUAAAAUUCAAGAAUAAUAUUCAUGUACCAAAAAUAAUUUGGACAGAAAAGAAAUAUAUUUUUCGGGUGAAUAGUACCCCGUGAAUAGUACUUCGGGAAUAGUACCCCGUGAAUAGUACCCCGACACGAAAAGUGUCCCGAAUACCCGAGUGAAUGAUACUAGAGUGAAUAGUAAUCGGGUGAAUAGUAACCCGUGAAUAGUAACUCGUGAAUAGUACUCCGGCACGAAAAGUGCCCCGAAUACCCGAGUGAAUAAUACUAGAGUGAAUAGUAACCGGGUGAAUAGUAACCCGUGAAUAGUAACUCGUAAAAAAAAAAUACCAAAGAAAAUGAUAUUCCAUGACGAGUACAAAAGAAAUGAUAUCUCAUACGAGUAUAAUAGAAUAUACGAAACUGCAAAUGGAUUUUCACCCGCCAUGCGGUAAUCCACGUAGACAGAUCAUUUCCACAAUUUAAUAAAGAAUGAAUACGAAGGAUCAUUCACCAUGCAUGCGGUAAUCCACAUAGACAGGUUAUUCCAACAGAAUAAUAAAGAAUGGAAUAACAGAAGAAUUCACCAUGCAUGCGAUAGACCGCACAGACAGGUUAUUCCCAACAGAAUAAUAAAGAAUGGAACCAGGUCAUGCGUAAUCCGCACAGACAGGAUAUUCCAACAGAAUAAUAAAGAAUGGAACCAGGUCAUGCGUAAUCCGCACAGACAGGAUAUUCCAACAGAAUAAUAAAGAAUGGAAUAACAACAGAAUUCACCAGGCAUGCGAUAGACCGCACAGACAGGUUAUUCCAACAGAAUAAUAAAGAAUGGAAUAACAGAAGAAUUUCACCAUGUAUGCGGUACUUCGCAUAGACAGGUUAUUCCAACAUAAUAAUAAAGAAUGGAAUAACAACCCUUACGAGUAUUGAAAGAAAAUAACUCUCUUCAUGAAUACGAAAGAAUAAUACCCCUUACCUUAGAAGAAAACUGGAUACUGGAAUAGUGAGGUAGCAGACUUCUCUUCUUCUUUCUCUCUAUAAUUUCUCUCUAUAAUAAUUGCUCUAUAGCUUUAGUGAAUUGGUGAGAAAUGAAGGAAGAAUGAGCUUCUAUUUAUAGGAAAAUAUAGUUUCGAUAAUUGCACGUUUUGGGGCUCGAAAUAUUACAGUAUAAUACCUUCCUCUUUUUCUUCAUUUUUAAUUUAGUCCUGCAAGUAUUAUCAAACUUGCACCACCUCCCCUAAUAGUAAAUAAUGUGAAUCAAUAGUUCAAUCAUGUGAAUCAAUAGUUAUAAUCAUGUGAAAAUACGAAUUACAGUAUAGUACCUCCAUCUAUACCUCCAUUUUUAACUUAGUCAUGCAAGUAUUAUCAAUCUUGCACCAACUCCCCUAAUAGUACAAGAAUGUGAAUCAAUAGUACACACAUGUGAACAAAUAGUUAUAAUCAUGUGAAUUAAUAGCAAUUAAUUGCUCAUUUAUCCGAUUAAUUACCCGAUUGGUCAAUAUAACCUCCAGACAUCAAUUAUUAUCGAAAUAAAUGUCGAUUUCCACUAACACUAAUAAUUCCAACACAAUGGAACUAUCAAUUUCAUCUUUAAUCAACACGAACUUAUUCAUCAUUAAUAUUAUAACUCACAAUAUUUAACAACCAGGUCGUUCCCAGGAAAGAGGGGGCUUUCCGAUAAGGAUUUCUCCUUAUUGGCGCGCAAUUAGGUGACCAAACCUCUCCUUGACAGAACUUCUAGACAUUGUCAAUAUUGCAAAUAAUAAUAUGAAUAACUUUGUCGUCUCAAUUAUUGAUUUAAUAAUAUAACAUAUUAUGCAGAUGAUACUGUGACAAUAAUUGAAUCAAUAAUAUGAGAGAUAUGAUGCAGCAAUUACUGUAGCAAUAAUUGAGUAUAACUGAGUGACUUCUCACGUAAGCAUCAAUAAUCAAUACCGUGUGCUACUAUGCAACCACGCGUAUUACUGUACUUUUACUACCGGGUAGUUCAACAGUUUUAACGGUAACACUUUCGCCGUUAUUUUUAUAAAAAGAUAAUUCUGUCGUUUUCUAACUACGACAAUACUUCCGUUGUGGGGUCCACCAAUGAUUGUGUCAUCGUACGAAUAUUCCCUGUUAAAACGAAUAUUCCCCGACCAAUCGAAUAUUAUAUAACAACUUGCUUACUUUGCAAAUUUUAUAAAUAUUACCCACAACUAUAACAUUAUAUCAAAUCCACACCAUAAUAUUCAAAAAAAUAUUUCGAAAAAUUUAAAUCUUUAUUCAUAAAAUUUGGGGUCUCACAAAGUUCUUUAAUUUACCAUCUUAUAAUGUGCAAGUUUCUUGAACCUUCUUAGAUAUUAUUUCUUUGCAAAUUCUCUAACUUAUCAUUUUGAAAUGAGCAAGGUCCCUAACUUCAUUCUUACAUUGAAUGCAAAUAUCUAAACCUUAUCUCAUAUUGUGCCAACUAUAUUCAUAUUGAGUAAAUUUCUAUAUUCGUAUGAAUCAUUAUUCAUAUUUGAAAAUUAAUUGUAUAUCUUGAUUCAUGUUACGAGCAUUGAACUUAUUGUUUUAAAAUGCAUGUAUUGUAAAAGUUGUCUAAGCCAUUUGACUCGACUAGACUAAUAUCAUGUGUUAGAAAGCUAUCCAAACCAAUUGUCUUAGUGCAGACCCUUAUAAAUUUACUGACAUGAACAACCCUCAUUGAAGGGGAAAUUAUAUAUUGUCGGGGAACCGACGUGCGCACAAACAUGUUUAAAUGUUAUGCAUAACAUAGGGUAUUUUAGGUUGAUCACCUAUUAUACUUGUUUUAUUGAAUUAUCAGUUUAAUAUUGUUGAUUCUAGUAGGAGUUCUCUGUCCAUAGUGACUACUCAGUAUUGAAACCUUUGAAUUCUUUUAAAAUCUUCCGGUUUAUAAUGACUCACUGUUUAAAAUUCAAAGGACAGUUUUGAAGCUAUUGAUAUUUCCUUGUUUACAACAUUCUUCCUUAACCCUUGAGUUAUCUUUGAUUAUUAUACCUUUGAGAUUAUUAACUUCAUAGCAUGCAUGUUCACCCUUAUUAUUAUAUAUUUGCUGAGUAAAUUUGUGGCUCAUUCUUGUUUCCUUUAAACCUUACAGUUAAGGCAAAAUGUGAUGAACCCUCAG
rnacentral:lncRNA from 1 species